rnacentral:lncRNA from 1 species
CUGACAAUUACUGAAACCAAACACAGCUGUAGAACCGGAGCAUUUGUAAACACGGUGUGGUGUAGUGUCACAGCGAGUGUUGAGGGAAUACUUACAUUUCGAGACACGCAUAACAUGCCGACCUCCCCGGUGAAGACACGGAUACCGCUGUAAAGUUUUGGCCAUCUUGUAACCGAAGUAAAGAGACAGCUCUUUGGAAUUGAUUCGCCAACCCUGAAGGAACUGACAGGAUGGAGGAAACAUUUUAACAGCUACACCUUACAAGGACGCAGAAAUUUUGUUCUUGCCACAUAUGGCGUUCUUGCACUCACAGCUGCUGCCUUCAUGCUGAGACGCAGCAGGAAGAAGGAGCAUGAAACAGCAUCUGCCUCCUCAUGAACUGCAAAUGGAAAGUUUUGAGGGUUAAGAAUACAGUAAAUUAUUUAUGAUCGCUACAUGUGUGGACCAUGUUUAAUGAAGCUUAUGUUUCUACAUAUGCACCAGAUGUGCAUUUCUUUAUCAUGCACACUUUUUUAAUUUAAAAAUGGAUUGGUUGCGCUUUAGUUUUGUGGCCCCAUUUUGACAUCCUGUUGACUAUUUAUAUAUAUAAAUUUGGUAUCACUUUAUUUUGAUGGUCACUUUAACACAUUUUGUUGAAUUUAAGUUACAUUGCAUCUACAUUCCAACUAAUUCUCAUUAGCAUAUAAGUAAGCUGUUAGGUUGGGGUUAGUGUAAGUUGACAUGUACUUGCAAAGUUUCUUAUAGUCAGUAUCAGCAGAUAUUAAGCAGGCAGUCUACUAAUACUCAAAUGAUAAGUAAUUGGCGUGUAGUUGCAAUGCAAAUUUUAGUCAAAAAAUGUGCGAUAGGGACAUUUAUACAAUUUAAUUAGUAUGAAAACUAAUGAAUUUUUUAAAGGGGUGUGUCCUCAAACUCCACCCCUUAUCCUACACCUCAUUGAAGGAUAAGCAAAUCAUACUAAAAUGUACCAAUGAGA